AUGGCCCGCCACCUGGGCAUGUGGCCCGCGGUGGAGGCCUGCUCCGCUCUCAUGAAGGAGCAGGAGAGGAAGCUCCGUCCUCGCGAGAACAACUGUGCCGGCCCAUGUCGCGAACGUUGCUGCCAACGCAGGGAGGGCAAAAGGAAACGGGCCUUUGGGUUGGAGGACAAUGUGAACAACGGCUUCUGUUUGCUGCUGGAUCCGACCGACGAGUCUUUCCAAGGAGGCCCGAGGCGAAACCUGCGUCGGACGCCGAAAGCUCACAAUGGUCUCCCUCUGAGUCCCUCGCACAGGAUGAAGCUCAUGGACUUUAAAUCGCCCUCCUCCAAGAAAGCCAGCACGCCUCGACACGCCUCAGCCAACACGCAGUCCCAGAAUUACUCGCGGAUCUCCCCACCCAAUUCCCGUCUCCUCCGCUCCACUCCCGGGGCAGCCAAAGAGCUCCAGCGAUUGCUGCCCACACCGGAGAGUCCUCGCCGAAACCGGAGAGCCAACUCCGUCCCGCGGCUGCCACGCGUCGCAAAGACCGCCGCGUGCAGCCCCGUGCGGAUAAAGCAGGAAGUGGUAGAGGUCGGAGAGGACGAGCAGGACAGCGCGAGAGCGCAGCAGAAGUACGAGCUGAUGAGCGUCCUCGGGUUACAAAGGACCGCCCUGCUGCCCCGACCAGAGGAUCUGAUCGGCUGGAGACAGAAGAAACGACUGAGGAAGCUGAAGGCGAACAACUACUCGCUGACGAAGCGGCGGAAACCCCGCCCCGCCUCCCCGGUCCUCCCGUACGGGGCUCUGUCACUUACCCUUCCCCUGUGUGACCCCAUUAACACUCACCUCCUCAGCAAGUCGGGGAAGACCAAGCCCGCCGUUCCAGUCGGCAAAGAGCAGGCGAAGGCAAAAAAGCCCAAGGGCACCCCGAGGAGGGUGCCUCCGAGUGACCGGAGCAUGCGAAGUCAUGGCGCCUUGCCCGACAUGUUUCAACCGUUCUGCGGGCGGGAACUCAGGCGGUCGGUGAGGAAGGGCGACGGUGUCCACCACAACGCCCGGCUGCCCCGGCGACGCAGCGCCAAGAGGACUCCUGCGAGAAACCUGGUCAGGAUCAAAUCCGAACCGGUCGACUACUCCGUCUCAGGCUUCCCUAUGUCAUCCGACGGUCGCCGCGGCAACGCGCCCCACAGGUCACCGCCUCCGCCUGGGACACAAGCCAAAAGUCACGCCGUCAAAACGCCGCGGUACAACAGCAGCCGGCGGGCUCCGAAGACGAAGCUUGCGCGGAGCUCCGCAGUGGAGGGGGCCAAGACCUUGAAGUGUGAACCCGGGGAAGAGGGGAUCGGGGUCUUGAACAGUGGGCUCCAGUUUUCAGAGCGUCCACAUCCGGCGUCCAUCUACAACAACCCUCUGUACAAAGUCAUCAAAGAGGAGCCCGCAGACCCCGUGCCGGUUGGCGGACCCUUCUGCGAUCCGCCCUCGCCGGACCUGGGCAAGCGGCAGAGCAAGCCCCCCAUCAAACUGCUGGACUCUGGCUUUCUUUUCAGCUUCUGUCGGCCCGCGGGGGGCCUGAAGAAAGAGGAGGAGAGCGUUGACAUCUGCCUGACGCGCUCGGUGUCACAAAUCAGACAGAGAUUCGGAGCAGAGGAGUCCCCACACAGGGCGCUGAGGGCCCGGGGGCCCACCGCCCCGCCCGCGGUGAAGGAGAGGAUUGCGAGGCAAAGCAAGGUCCAGAGACCCCGGCAGAACUCCCGACACAGCACUCCUCAACUGGCCAAAGCUGUAGAGUCAAAGGCCACAAGGGCCGUGCCGAAGCAGCAAACAAAUCCCCCCCCGAGCGGCAGGAGCCGUGUCUCGCUGGACGCUGUACAGCGAGCGAGGCUGAAGCAGCUCCGAGGGCCUCGCAGCCAAGUGCCCAAAGUCCCGAAGGCGACACAUUCCUGUGCGCAGUGCUCGGCCUCCUACAAGGACUGUGACGCUCUCAUCAUGCAUCGCCUCCGGCACAUUGAGGGGAAGCACUGGCCGUGCCUGCUCUGCAGUAAGACGUUCUUCCGACUGAGGAAUGUACGGAACCACAUCCACACCCAUGACCCCAAGUUGUACAAAUGUCGGAGCUGCAUUGCUGCUGGCUCCUGAGGCAGCUAAACUGCGAGGCCGAG
ensembl:lncRNA